AGGGAAAUGCUGGAGCUGGGAGAGCACAGGAUUUGCAUUUCUGGAGCUCUGGGUUCGAGCCCCAGUGUCCCCA
rnacentral:tRNA from 1 species